rnacentral:rRNA from 1 species
UACGGAGGGUGCAAGCGUUGUCCGGAUUUAUUGGGUUUAAAGGGUGCGUAGGCGGCCCGUUAAGUCAGUGGUGAAAGCCUCCAGCUCAACUGGAGAACUGCCAUUGAUACUGGCGGGCUUGAGUACAGACGAGGUAGGCGGAAUUGAUUGUGUAGCGGUGAAAUGCAUAGAUACAAUCAAGAACACCGAUUGCGUAGGCAGCUUACUAGGCUGUAACUGACGCUGAGGCACGAAAGCGUGGGGAGCGGACAGG